rnacentral:sRNA from 1 species
UUUUUUUAUUUUUAUUUUUUUUUAUUUUCCUUUAAACACAUCCCAACCCAAAGUAUAAGCGCCCACCUAGUCCUAUCUAGUCCGAAAAAUGCGAACUAGAACUACAUGAGACACUAUCUCUGUCGUUACGAACCUAACACUUUCUACCAAGCUUAAUCGGAAUAAGACCUCACAAACACUCACAAGUGAUAUAGGGCUUGAAAGAAAGUCUAGGUUUGGGUUUGGGUUAACUGCUCUAAUAAAGAGAGUCAGCUACUUGAACUAACAAGAGUGAUCAAAAUGAAUAAGAAAAUCCAAGUAUUUUAGGGUAUCCAUGAGUUCAAAUUUGAUGCAGACAUGAUAAUUAAAGAUCAGAUUCAGGUUCAAAUUGAUAGGGAAUGGUAUCAGAUCAUGACAGUGUGGUCGAGUAGAGCAAUCUAGGCAUGGUUCAGUUUUAUUUCAAAUUCAUUGACUACGCAACAGACAACUAGCAACGAGGGCACUGAGUUUAUUCGGUGAAUCAAAAUGCUUACAAGACUAUCUCAUCAUCAUCCCCUAUGCAUAUGCAAUAAUCCUAAAUGAAACAUUCUAGACUCGAUCCUAAAUGUGAUGCAACUACAUGAACACUCUUUUUUUGUGAAAUCAUUUUCUGAAAUUUUUCAAUUUUUUUUUUUUUGGUUUUUCUAUGCCUUAGAUGAAUGCAGACUCAAAAAUAUACACAAUGCAACACACACUUUCUGAGCCCUCCCCCAAACUUAAAUCACACAGUCCACUGUGCGAAUAAACUUGGAAGAGAGUACUCAGGACAAAUCCAAUCACAGAAACAAAAAAUGAAGAAACAAAUCACAACAGAUGGUAUAAUACAAUGGUGAAGUGAGGCGCUUACCUUAGUCAAAGAAUGAACGUAGUUGCUCGUCAAUGGCUGCCUGUGAUUGCUCCCAGGCUAUAGACGAACCACCUUGUUCUGUAUCAGCUCCAGCAGGUGGGUACUCGACCUCAUCAGCUCUGUGGCGGCCAGCACCGCUCUGAGGAAACUCGACCUCUCUCCUUCUGCUGCGGCCAGCACCGCGGUCGCGUAAACUACGAGACUGCAGAAGUCGUUCGCUCCUACUGCUAGAUCGAGUGAGUGUGGUCCUCCUCUUCCUCCCAGAUUUACGAAGCUCGAAUGAUGAAUACCUCGCAGGGACAUGCGGAAUCUCCUGCUCUCUAGGCUGAGGCCUGCGCCGACUUGGCUCGGGCGCGUCAUAUCUCCUCGAAGGCAUGUCCUGAGGGAGAUGUCCCUGCGGAAUAGUUGUAGUGGAAGAGGAGCAGCUGAGCUUGUUCUUCAUAAACUUGAUAGCCCUGAGGCACUUGGCGAGUAACUUGUCCUGUUUCAUGCACCACUUCUGCAGCUUGCUGUUGUUCCUGUGAGCUUCGCUCAAACUCCUGCUUUCCCUCGCAGGAGGUAUAUGCUCACUGAAAUGAUACAUGCUCGUGUCAAACUCCGCCUCAUCUAUAUCAUCCGUCUCAUCAAUAUCUUCUGUUGUAGCUCCUUCGGUAUGACUGAUCACCUCAGUUGGCGGACUACCCUCGAAAUAAAGUUCUUCAAGCGCAGGCUUGAAGUCAAUGUUCCUGCCCUCGAGAAUCCUAGUAGCGUCAAUGCAGGGGAGAAGAAUGUUGGCGAUUUUAAUCGAUGAAUGCUCGAACCUGUAGCGGUGAAAGUCGCCAGCCAUGUCAAACUCCAAGAACUCACAUCUGCGCAAAUGAUCCAAGUCCAUCAUCCUCGGUGCUAACCCUGGUUCCUUGAGCCGUACUCCACAAGCUUCCAGAAUUGGCGUCACAACGCCACCCACGCAUAGUUCUCCUUUUUGUU